ensembl:lncRNA
AUGCACUUCAGGAAAGAAAACGCGUCCCUUGUGGUCACUGAGGUCCCAACACCCGAGCAGUUCCACAGGGUCACUCAGGAGGCUGCUGAGCAGGCCUCCCAGCCCCUCCCGGGACGGCCCCCACAGCAGCCCAGGAGAGCUCACGCUGCUCGCUUCACAUUCUCAGGCAAGUCGAUCUGUUACAUUUUGCUGUCGUUUAACACGCUAUUUUGGCAGAAGAAGUACUGCCCCUUGAUGGGAAGCGUUUCUGUGGUUCCCCGGGAAGGGACCUGCCUUCCCGCAACAUCCAGGACGAGAGAAGAAAGGCGGGGCUUUGCGAAACCUAGCAACCACCGCAGGACUUUACAGCAGGAGCAGCGCCUCCACGCGACCAGAACGCUCCAGUGCUUUCUAGAGCUUUCCCGCAACGCUAACUUCCCAUCAGGCCCUUCCCUCUUUCUCCAAACACCCCAGGACGAGGCCCCCACCACAGGGGUGGUCCUGCCUCCCGACGCUGGGCACGGACAACCCGCACUCGGGACUGAAGGUCACCCAAGUGGCUCCACGCCACAGUCGAUUUGGCAAAAAGAAAAUGCCUUAAAUGCAUAAAAACAAUCAGCGGUCCUCCAAGAAACAUGAUUACAAUAUAUUAGCAAGUUCUGGGCGUAAACAUUUCCAAAAGCAUCAGCAGAAGUAUUAAAUAGAAAAGCAAGAGUGCACACGCCCUCCUCACCCUAAGAGGCGGCAGGCCUGGCGCAGCCGUGGCGGGGCGAGGUGCCUACUGCCGCAGCUCCACGUAGUUGGCAGGAAGAGCCCGUACCUGCCCUUGCACAGCCCGCGCCACCAGCCAUCAUCAAUCAUCUCGAUGUUGGUGAUGAUGUCAUCAGGGUCAAGGAGAUCUCAUCGUCGCCGCUGCGGAGGAGGCCAGAGAGCAGUGGUCACCCCGGUGUCUCUGGGUCAGCCAACCGCCAGGAGGAAGACCCGCCAGCAGCCCUCGAGCUGGCGGCCUCCCACGGAGGCUCUGCGGGGUGCAGGGUGCUGGGGUGGAGGAUCACGGGGUGGACGGGUCCCGGUCUGCCCUGCUCAAUGAGGGCGGCUCUGCACGCACAUGGCAGCUACAGAGACCCAACCGAGCCCUUCAUACAAAGCCCUGAGCCAGGACUUCCCUGGUGGCACAGUGGGCAACAGUCUGUCUGCCAACGCUGGUUGGACACCUUAUCCGGAAGAUUUCACGUGCCAUGGAACAACUAAACAACUAGACCCUGACUACUGAAGCCCACAAGCUGCAGACUGAAGCCCGAGCGCCCUGGAGCCCUCUCUCUGCAACAAGAGAAGCCAUGACAAUGAAAAGCCCUCACAUCAGAAUGAAAAGUAGCUCCCGCCUCCCCACAACUGGAGAAAGCCCACACAGCUAAAAGAUGCAGCACACACAAAAAAUCCUAACCCAGACCAGAUGGAAUGGGACUGAGGAAGAUACAGAAUUCCCUGCGUUGUAUCUGCAACUUUUCUAUAACCUUGCAAUUGUUUAAAUAUAAAUUCUUCUUAAAAAUUGUAAAUAGCGUUCUGAGAGUCCUAACUCUUGAGAGAGGAGUUGCUGGAAGCCCCCAGUCCCUGCACUCCACCCCAGCCCUCCUUCUGGCCCGCCAGCGGUUUCUCACCAGCCUGGUAGUCAUAGAGGCGAUGGCAGUGAUUCCAAGGUCGUUUUCAUAUUCAUCAUAGGUACCUUCCUCUAGAAUAAACCAGGGCCGAGUCUGAGAGAGAACCAGAGCUCCAUGCUCACUCCCAGCAGACAGCCCUUCCCAAGGUCCGGGAGUCGCCAGUCGGGAGUCAGUGGCCCCAGGGCACCGAGAGCCGCCUGCCCCUCAUACCAACAAGAGGAGCCACCCCAAGGAGCGAACACACAGAGGGAUCAUCUGGGUUGAGACUGGGACAGUUGUCAGGGUAUAAUUUUUAAAUUUCAAAUAUUCAGCACUAUUGUCAGGAAACGUCCGUGCCAAGAACAAACGAACGGCGAGCGAGACAGCUGAUCACCUGCCAUCGUGCUCGGGAGGUGAGCCUGCCCUGGGCAGGUUCUCGUGCUGAUUCCCAAGUCACUCCCGAGGGGAACGGGCCCAGACAUACAGAAGGGAACCCCACGCUCAUCUACCCACUCCACCUUCAGGGUGCCAGGGACCUCCAUCUUGUGAACUCCGACACCGGGCUUCCCUCGAAAGACGACAGCAGGAGCCCAUCCUCCAUGCCCACCCCUCAGUGCCCCCGCACAGGCAGGGGUCUCCUGGAAGGCCCGGGGCUGGGGCCACAGCUGAGGUGGGGCAGCUCAGCCCAUGGGAAAGGGAGGUCUGCAGAGGAAAAGCAGCGGAGGGGUGUGAUGCAGGAGGCCCCAUACCUGCUCGAUAGUGGCCCGCGCCCCGGCUGUGAGACGCCCGAGACGUAGGCCUCCGGGUACUCCAGCGGUCUCCACGCUGUAGCCCAGCUCAGGCUCUCUGCUGGGGCUCGGCUCAGCCCGAAUGAGGCCGGCCCUGGGAGUCAAGGGCAAGUUCCGUGGCCCCACCGCCCAGAGCCACGCAGAAACCUGGCAGCCCGGCCGACAUGGGACAGACACGGGGAGGCGGGUCACCCGCCGACGCCCCACGAGCACCUGCAUCCUGACGGGCCCUCCCAGGAUCCCUCUCACCCCGACCCCGAGUCCCACCAUCACUAAGGACCUGCCGGCCACAAGAGACGGAGUUCCUGGGGCAGGUCUGGCCUGCUCCUUCGGCCCAGCCCUCCUUCUGGCCCGCCAGCGGUUUCUCACCAGCCUGGUAGUCAUAGAGGCGAUGGCAGUGAUUCCAAGGUCGUUUUCAUAUUCAUCAUAGGUACCUUCCUCUAGAAUAAACCAGGGCCGAGUCUGAGAGAGAACCAGAGCUCCAUGCUCACUCCCAGCAGACAGCCCUUCCCAAGGUCCGGGAGUCGCCAGUCGGGAGUCAGUGGCCCCAGGGCACCGAGCCGCCUGCCCCUCAUACCAACAAGAGGAGCCACCCCAAGGAGCGAACACACAGAGGGAUCAUCUGGGUUGAGACUGGGACAGUUGUCAGGGUAUAAUUUUUAAAUUUCAAAUAUUCAGCACUAUUGUCAGGAAACGUCCGUGCAAGAACAAACGAAC